rnacentral:rRNA from 1 species
UGGGGAAUAUUGGACAAUGGGCGCAAGCCUGAUCCAGCAAUGCCGCGUGUGUGAAGAAGGCCUGUGGGUUGUAAAGCACUUUCAGGGGGGAGGAAAGGCACGUAAGUGUUUUGACGUUACCCUCAGAAGAAGCACCGGCUAACUCUGUGCCAGCAGCCGCGGUAAUACAGAGGGUGCGAGCGUUAAUCGGAAUGACUGGGCGUAAAGCGCGCGUAGGCGGUUAUACAAGUUGGGUGUGAAAUCCCUGGGCUUAACCUAGGAAUUGCAUUCAAAACUAUAUGACUUGAGUGAAGUAGAGGUAAGUGGAAUUUCCGGAGUAGCGGUGAAAUGCGUAGAUACCGGAAGGAACACCAGUGGCGAAGGCGACUUACUGGGCUUUAACUGACGCUGAGGUGCGAAAGCGUGGGGAGCAAACAGGAUUAGAUACCCCUGUAGUCC